CUUUGUUCCAUUGCUCACUUCCAUUCCUUCCUCAUAUUUCCAGUUUGUUCUGUUUAGAGGUGUAUUGUUUUUCUUUUCUCAUGGCAAUGGAUAACACAUUUAACAAGUUUGCUGAAGUUGUUCCUGGGAGGGAUGCUUGGAAAUUUCUUGUUCGUGUUUGUGGAGUUGGUUUUGGUGGAUGAAUGUAUGUGAUUGGUGUGUUGAGUGGCAUGUCUACUGAGAGGGAGUACGUCAGGGAUGGGAAGGUUACUAGAAUGAUUGUUAUAGAGCUAACUGAUCACAGAUGAAAAAGCUUAUUGGUGAAACUGUUGAUGGAGUACCAGUUGUUGGUGUUAUGUUUGAUGUGGUUUAGUUUUUAAGAGUGUUCUAAUGUCCUAUGAACAUGUUAUGUAAUCUUGGAUCUAAUGGAAGGUUAUAAACCUAAAGUUCAAUGUUAUUUUCAUCCUUUUACUGUGUUUUUUUUGUUUGGUAUUGUAUAAGUUUAUUUGCUCUUCAAAGGUGCUUCUAGCUCUGACCUUGUGAACAUUGUCGUUAAGAACCCUAUGUUCCUUACAACAAGUUUGCACAAGAAAAUAAUCCCAAUCUAUGAUUUGGUUUGUAAA